UACGUAGGGUGCGAGCGUUAAUCGGAAUUACUGGGCGUAAAGCGUGCGCAGGCGGUUUUGUAAGCCAGAUGUGAAAUCCCCGGGCUUAACCUGGGAAUGGCAUUUGGGACUGCAAGGCUGGAGUGUGGCAGAGGAGACUGGAAUUCCUGGUGUAGCAGUGAAAUGCGUAGAUAUCGUGAGGAAGACCAGUGGCGAAGGCGGGUCUCUGGACAGUUCCUGACGCUGAGGCGCGAAGGCCAGGGGAGCAAACGGG
rnacentral:rRNA from 1 species